rnacentral:rRNA from 6 species
GUUAAGCGACUAAGCGUACACGGUGGAUGCCCUGGCAGUCAGAGGCGAUGAAGGGCGUGCUAAUCUGCGAUAAGCGCCGGUAAGGUGAUAUGAACCGUUAUAACCGGCGAUACCCGAAUGGGGAAACCCAGUGUGACUCGUCACACUAUCAUUAACUGAAUCCAUAGGUUAAUGAGGCGAACCGGGGGAACUGAAACAUCUAAGUACCCCGAGGAAAAGAAAUCAACCGAGAUUCCCCCAGUAGCGGCGAGCGAACGGGGAGGAGCCCAGAGCCUGAAUCAGCAUGUGUGUUAGUGGAAGCGUCUGGAAAGGCGCGCGAUACAGGGUGACAGCCCCGUACACAAAAGCGCAUGUGCUGUGAGCUCGAUGAGUAGGGCGGGACACGUGGUAUCCUGUCUGAAUAUGGGGGGACCAUCCUCCAAGGCUAAAUACUCCUGACUGACCGAUAGUGAACCAGUACCGUGAGGGAAAGGCGAAAAGAACCCCGGCGAGGGGAGUGAAAAAGAACCUGAAACCGUGU